rnacentral:rRNA from 1 species
CAGUCAUAUGCUUCGUUCAAGGGCUAAGCCAUGCAAGUCUCAGAGUACACGGCUUUCAAGAGUGGGUCUGUGAAUGGCUCCUUACAUCAGCAGUCAUCUCCAUGAUAAAGUGUGGAUGGCACCACCUUGCCAGGUGCCCAGCUUGGACAUCCUCCAAAACCUAGUGGCUAAUACACGUACGAAACMGUCUGCUGCACCCAUGGCUCUGUUAGCACCACCGUGUGACUGGCUCUGCCAGUAGUGGAUUGCACCCAGCUGCUGAGAAGACCAGCGCCUGGAUAGGGCAGUGUGUUGUAGCUGACUCAGGCUGGUCCCAUUGUGGACAGUUGCACUGGCGGGAUGGUGGCUUCCAAGCCACAGCACUGCUUGAUCACACGAACUUCUGACCUAUCAGCUUGGACUGUGCUGUAGUGGACCACAGUGGCAGUGACGGGUAACAGGGAAUCAGGGUUUGAUUCUGGAGAGGGAGCCUGAGAGACGGCUACCACUACCAAGGUGGGCAGCAGGCACGCAAAUUGCCCAAUGCUGACACAGUCUGGUGAGGCAGCGACGAACUGUAGCAAUCCCGCUGGUCCUCAGUGGCUAGUGGGACUUGGAAUGGAUGCAAUCCAAACACAGUGAUGAGUAUCAACUGGAGGGCAAGUCUGGUGCCAGCAGCUGCGGUAAUUCCAGCUCCAAGGGUGUAUACUGACAUUGCUGCUGUUAAAACACUUGUAGUCGGAUGUUGAGUGGCAGGUCUGCCAAGUGGCUGGCUGGCAGGUGUCUGUGUUGUCUGGAGGGCCUCGGUCCAAAGGAGGGCGCAGCUNGGUCAGCUGGAACUCAACCCCUGGCAGUAUGUCCUGCUCUCGUAUCCAUGAUGGUGCGAAUGGCCCCUGCUCCAAGUCUCCUUCAGUGGGGAUCGAUGCGGUCUCAUGCCCAACGCUCGUGUGCUGACAUUGUGGGUCACAGUCCCGUGCUGUGCAGUUCCCCAGUCCACCACCGGGGUCCACCAUCUAUGACACCCUGGAGAACUCAGUGUGCCCAAAGCAACCGCUUGGCUGAAUGCUCGUCCAUGGAAUGUCAAAGCAAAGACCUGAUGUGGCCUAUGAGUUGUGCUGGCCUUGGUGCUCACCAAGGGGAAUCCAGUGCUGUGCCCUGGUAGUUGUGCCAGAGCUUCGGCUCUGUGCCCUGCUGCCCAGUGGUACAGUACGAAUCUGCUAUGAUGGGACUGCUCAGGGUGAAGGGUAUGGCUGCGCUAGAGGUGAAAUUCUUAGACCGCUGCUGGACCAACUGCAGCGAAGGCGCUCUGCAAGUGCAUGUUCAUCGAUCAAGAAUGAGAGUGUGGGGAGCAAAGAUGAUCAGACACCGUCGUAGUCCACAACCGUAAACCAUGCCAGCUCGGUGCUGACUGUGCAAGAUCUUUGACACUGCCAGUGCCACUCCCCCCACAACGAGAAAUCCAAGCCUUUGGGUUCAGGGGGGAGUACUGUUGCAAGGCUGAAACUUAAAGGAAUUGACGGAAUGGCACCACCAGGCGUGGAGUAUGCGGCUUAAUUUGACUCAACACGGGGAAUGUUACCAGGUCAGGACACUGCAAGGAUGGACAGAUUGAGAGCUCUUUCUUGAUUCUCUGGAUGGUGGUGCAUGGCCGCUCCUGAUUGGUGGAGUGAUUUGUCUGGUUGAUUCCGAUAACGAGUGAGAUCUCUGCCUCCCAAUAGCCCCUGUCUCGCAUUUGGUAGAGUGGGCAUAGCCAAUCCCCAGUGGGUCUCGGCCCAUCUGGGGAGGCUACUGCUGCUCGAGAGUACCAGGGCCAAGCUUCUCUGAGGUGCUGUGUGCGCCACCAAGCACAUGCAUGCUAGAGCCAACAGCAGGUCUGUGAUGCUCCCAGAUGUCCUGGGCCGCACGCGCACUACAUUGGUCCAGUGAAUAUGUGAUGCCACUCGCUCGUCGAGUCCUGCCUGGAAGUGGGUGGGAAACCCUUGGAGCCUGGUCCGUACUGGGGAUAGAUGCUUGCAACUGUCUGCCUUGAACGAGGAAUGCCUAGUAUGCGUGAGUCAUCAGCUCACACAGAUUACGUCCCUGCCAUUUGUACACACCGCCCGUCGUUGCUACCGAUGGUAGCUGGAUAGAGCCAUCUGGAGGCUUCAGCCACCCCGUGUGUGCUGUGCCAAACUCGGGCAAUGUCCUGCUACUAGAGGAAGCAAAA